CUACAUUCAACAGGAAACAGUUAUAUAUACUUAACAGAUGGUAAUUCUUAACGAUGUUACAGAGAGUCGUCUUGACAUCAGAGAGGAGAGCAAACGGAUCGUAGCAGGAAGAGCCCGUAAUCCUUUGUCCUUGACUCUAUAUACCCCAAAUUACGUCAUAAUGUUUAGUUUAGACCCUGCCAUAUAAGGAAGUUCCCUAUAUAAAGACCGCCUCAAAUCUCUUAUACAGCAAAUUCC